rnacentral:rRNA from 1 species
GACGUAGGGCGCGAGCGUUGUCCGGAAUUAUUGGGCGUAAAGCGCGCGCAGGCGGUCCUUUAAGUCUGAUGUGAAAGCCCACGGCUCAACCGUGGAGGGUCAUUGGAAACUGGGGGACUUGAGUACAGAAGAGGAAAGCGGAAUUCCACGUGUAGCAGUGAAAUGCGUAGAGAUGUGGAGGAACACCAGUGGCGAAGGCGGCUUUCUGGUCUGUAACUGACGCUGAGGCGCGAAAGCGUGGGGAGCAAACAGG